GACGAACGCUGGCGGCGUGCUUAACACAUGCAAGUCGAGCGGUAAGGCCCUUUCGGGGGUACACGAGCGGCGAACGGGUGAGUAACACGUGGGUGACCUGCCCUUAGCUCUGGGAUAAGCCUGGGAAACUGGGUCUAAUACCGGAUAUGACUCCAUGACGCAUGUUGUGGGGUGGAAAGCCUUGUGCGGCUAGGGAUGGGCCCGCGGCCUAUCAGCUUGUUGGUGGGGUGAUGGCCACCAAGGCGACGACGGGUAGCCGGCCUGAGAGGGCGACCGGCCACACUGGGACUGAGAUACGGCCCAGACUCCUACGGGAGGCAGCAGUGGGGAAUCUUGCGCAAUGGGCGAAAGCCUGACGCAGCGACGCCGCGUGA
rnacentral:rRNA from 1 species